rnacentral:rRNA from 1 species
UACAGAGGGGGCAAGCGUUGUUCGGAAUUACUGGGCGUAAAGGGCGCGUAGGCGGCCUUCUAAGUCGAACGUGAAAUCCCUGGGCUCAACCCAGGAACUGCGUCCGAUACUGGAAGGCUUGAAUCCGGGAGAGGGAUGCGGAAUUCCAGGUGUAGCGGUGAAAUGCGUAGAGAUCCCCAAGAACACCAGUUGCGAAGGCGGCUGACUGGACACAUAUUGACGCUGAGGCUCGAAAGCAUGGGAGCAACAGG